AGCCAUACCGCGUGGGUGAAGAAGGCCUUCGGGUUGUAAAGCCCUUUUGUUGGGAAAGAAAUCCAGCUGGCUAAUACCCGGUUGGGAUGACGGUACCCAAAGAAUAAGCACCGGCUAACUUCGUGCCAGCAGCCGCGGUAAUACGAAGGGUGCAAGCGUUACUCGGAAUUACUGGGCGUAAAGCGUGCGUAGGUGGUCGUUUAAGUCCGUUGUGAAAGCCCUGGGCUCAACCUGGGAACUGCAGUGGAUACUGGGCGACUAGAGUGUGGUAGAGGGUAGCGGAAUUCCUGGUGUAGCAGUGAAAUGCGUAGAGAUCAGGAGGAACAUCCAUGGCGAAGGCAGCUACCUGGACCAACACUGACACUGAGGCACGAAAGCGUGGGGAGC
rnacentral:rRNA from 1 species